CCUACGGGCCGCACCAGUGGGGAAUAUUGCACAAUGGGCGCAAGCCUGAUGCAGCCAUGCCGCGUGUGUGAAGAAGGCCUUCGGGUUGUAAAGCACUUUCAGCGGGAACGAAGGCGGUAAGGUUAAUAACCUUGUCUAUUGACGUUACCCGCAGAAGAAGCACCGGCUAACUACGUGCCAGCAGCCGCAGUAAUACGGAGGGUGCAAGCGUUAAUCGGAAUUACUGGGCGUAAAGCGCACGCAGGCGGUCUGUCAAGUCGGAUGUGAAAUCCCCGGGCUUAACCUGGGAACUGCAUUCGAAACUGGCAGGCUAGAGUCUUGUAGACGGGGGUAGAAUUCCAGGUGUAGCGGUGAAAUGCGUAGAGAUCUGGAGGAAUACCGGUGGCGAAGGCGGCCCCCUGGACAAAGACUGACGCUCAGGUGCGAAAGCGUGGGGAGCAAACAGGAUUAGAUACCCGGGUAGUC
rnacentral:rRNA from 1 species